GCUGGGGCUGAGGAUCAGAUGCCAUGUAGGGUCUGCUCACUCAGUCGCUGGCUCAGGAUUCUGUUUCCCUUUGUCCACAUCACGUGCAUACAACCAAGGGGCCUCUUAGGAAUCCAGGCUCUUGUGCAGAGACUACUGGGCUGGCAUCUCCGCUCUGCCACGCACUGGCCAUGUUAUUAUCUUAGACAAAUUAUCUAUUUACCUCAUGGGGCCGUGAGGCGAGAUGUGUUGUUACCUGCAAAGUGCUGGGAGCUGUACCUGGUACACAGCAAAUGCUUUAUAAAUAUUAGAUGUUACUACUGUCUGGCCCCUGAAGGCAUAUGAGUUUUGAACUUCUGUCCUAGAGCUUUAAUAUCCUACCGUUAUCUACUACGUGCUUUUAUGAUCAAAAAGAAAAUGGCAUAUGGUGAAAGCUAGUCAGAGAGAGCUGGAGAAUUACCAGGCCUCCCGGCCACAAAGGACAAAUAUUGUAUGACUGCGCUUCCCCGAGUUACCCAGAAUAAGCAAAGUCCUAGGGAGAAAGCCGAAUCUCUGUUAGAGGGGCACCGGGGAGGUAGGACAGGGGAUUGACUGGCUCAGGUAAAGGACAGUAGUGUUAGAGUUUCUCUUGGGGAUGAGGAAAAAGUUCUGGAGAUGAAGUGGGGUAAGGAUUGUGCAAAUGAUGUGAAUGUUCUUGAUGUCACUGAAGUAUACAGUUAAAAAUGGUGAAAAUGUAUGGGGCCCCUGGGUGGCUCAGGGGUUGAGCACCUGCCUUCCACUCAGGUCGUGAUCCUGGGGUCCUGGGAUCGAGUCCCACAUGGGGCUCCCCGCAGGGAGCCUGCUUCUCCCUCUGCCUGUGUCUCUGCCUCUCACUCUGGUUCUCUCAUGAAUAAAUAAAUACAAUCUUUUUUUAAAAUGGUGAAAAUGUGAAUUAUGCUAUAUAGAUUUUAGCACGUAUAUUUUUUAAAAUUAAUUAUUAGAGGGAAACCUGGCCAGCUAAGUCGGUGGAACACGUGACUCUUGAUCUUGGGGUUGUGAGUUCGAGCCCCACGGUGGGUGUAGAGAUUACUUAAAAAUAAAAUCUUACAAAAAAUGAAUUAUUAGAGGCUACAUAAUUCAGUCUGCUGCUUUUCACUAGGAUUCAAUCGUUGAUGAUCUCAAGCACCCCAAAUGCACUAUAAGUUCAUGUUCUCAAAAGCCACAUACUGUAUUUCCCAUAAUAGUUUAGGAAGAACAGUAUUAACUAUUUUAACAGCUGUGCUGUACAAGAGUGGGCUUUUUCUCAAUUUGGCGGCCUCAUGGGAAUGCACUAACAGCAAAUACAGGAUGAGGCCGGUGGGACAGACUUUUAAUACCUGCCUACAGCAGUCGGGCUGUUCUUCCUUUAUUAUAAAAUGCUCCACACAGAUGCCUCUGUCUCUCCUUUCUCUCAACAAAUAUACAGAAUGGGAGGCUUCCUGCCAAGCACUAUGUAACUGGCUGCCUUUGAACUAUGGGAUGCUGGGCAACAGUGACAAGAGGUUUUGAUCUCCGUGCCUGUUCUAUUAACAGCAUUCCACACACACACACACACACACACACACACACACACACACACACGACUCCUGCCAGGGUAUAAAUCAACAUGCACACGAGAAUGUCCUAAACCAUUUCAAUCAGGGUCUCAUUUUUAAAUUUCAGCAUGUUGACAUCUGUCCUUCAUUUAAAAAAAAAAAAAGGAUGUAAAAUAUAAGCAAACUUAAAACUCCUUUGAAAAUUGUAUUUAACCUGCGUGCACACACAGUACAUUCAGUAUGUAUUUGUAGUCUUCCAACUCAGAACCACUGCAAAUAGUUAUUUCCUGACAUUUACAGAGCCAUUUCCUAUGAAUUUACAAUCUUGAGUCAAACUGGACCUAGUUCUAAGAAGAAACUGCACUACACUUGGAAAUUUCUUAAAUAAACUGAUACCUUUUGGCACAAAGAUUGUUUGGAAGGAAAGAUCCCUUUAAACAUUACUGAAAAUUCAAACUCAUAGGA
rnacentral:lncRNA from 1 species